rnacentral:rRNA from 1 species
UACGUAGGUGGCAAGCGUUGUCCGGAUUUAUUGGGUUUAAAGGGUGCGUAGGCGGCCUUGUAAGUCAGUGUUGAAAUAUCCCGGCUUAACCGGGAGGGUGGCAUUGAUACUGCAGGGCUUGAGUAAAGUUGAGGUUGGCGGAAUUGACGGUGUAGCGGUGAAAUGCUUAGAUAUCGUCAAGAACACCGAUAGUGAAGACAGCUAACUAAGCUUUAACUGACGCUGAGGCACGAAAGUGUGGGGAUCAAACAGG